GACGAACGCUGGCGGCGUGCUUAACACAUGCAAGUCGAACGGAAAGGCCCUUCUUUUGUGGUGUGCUCGAGUGUCUAACGUGUGUGUAUCACGUGAGUAUCCUUCCCGUGACUUUGGGAUAACUUCAGGAAACGGGGGCUAAUACCGGAUAGCAGCUCCUGCUGCAUGGGGGGACUUGGAAAGUUUCGGCGGUGGGGGAUGGACUCGCGGCUUAUCAGCUUGUUGGUGGGGUAGUGGCUUACCAAGGCUUUGCCGGGUAGCCGGCCUGAGAGGGUGACCGGCCACAUUGGGACUGAGAUACGGCCCAGACUCAUACGGGAGGCAGCAGUGGAGAAUAUUGCACAAUGGGAGGAAGCCUGAUGCAGCAAAGCCGCGUGCGGGAUGACGGCCUUCGGGUUGUAAACCGAUUUCGCCUGUGACGAAGCGUGAGUGACGGUAAUGGGUAAAGAAGCACCGGCUAACUACGUG
rnacentral:rRNA from 1 species